AGCUCCAAUAGCGUAUAUUAAAGUUGUUGCAGUUAAAAAGCUCGUAGUUGGAUUUCUGGUCCCGUGGGAGGGUCGCGCCGCAAGGCGUGUACCGUUUCGUGGUUCCUUUUGCUCGAAGGCCCGCGGUUCCUCUUCAUUGAGUGCCGUGUGGAAUUCGGGAUCUUUACUUUGAAAAAAUUUGAGUGUUCAAAGCAGGCUUUUGCUUGAAGACAUUAGCAUGGAAUAAUGGAAUAGGACUUUGGUUCUAUUUUGUUGGUUUCUAGGACCGAAGUAAUGAUUAAUAGGGAUAGUUGGGGGCAUUAGUAUUUAAUUGUCAGAGGUGAAAUUCUUGGAUUUAUGAAAGACUAACUACUGCGAAAGCAUUUGCCAAGGAUGUUUUCAUUAAUCAAGAACGAAAGUA
rnacentral:rRNA from 1 species